UUCACCACCACCUCAAUACCAUGAAAAAAACAACAUCAUCAUCUUUCAACUCCAAUUUCUUCAAAGUGGAUAGAACCUGCAUGACAUGGCUCGAAUCUCAACCGUUGAAGUCAGUUGUAUAUGUUAGCUUUGGAAGCACCACAACAAUGACGAGAGAAGAAAUACUUGAGUUUUGGCACGGUUUGUUGAACAGCAAAAAAGCAUUCUUGUGGGUGAUUAGACCAAACAUGGUACAAGAAAAAAGACUAAUAAAAGAACUUGAGGAAGGGACUAGUAAGGAGAAAGGUUUGAUUGUGGAGUGGGCUCCACAAGAGGAAGUUUUGUCACAUAAGGCAAUUGGUGCUUUUUUGACACAUAGUGGAUGGAAUUCUACUUUGGAGAGUGUGGUUUGUGGUGUGCCUAUGAUUUGUUGGCCUUAUUUUUCUGAUCAACCGCUUAAUAGUAGGUUUGUGAGUGAGGUUUGGAAGCUUGGAUUGGAUAUGAAAGAUGUUUGUGAUAGGAAUGUUGUUGAGAAUAUGGUGAAUGAUAUUAUGGUGAACAAGAAGGAGGAGUUUUCAAAAUCUGCUACUAAAAUGGCGGAUUUGGCUUCCAAGAGUGUAAAUCCUGAUGGUUCCUCCUACAACAACCUCCAAGAUUUGAUUCAGUAUAUAAGGUCUACUAGCCCAUAAAAUAUGGGGUGUCCCCUACAAUUCUCCUACUAAAAACUUCUCAUAUUUUUAUGUCUAUCAACAUCACAAAAAGAAGUAUGUAUUUGAAAUACAUACUUCAAAAACAUCGAGGGACAAAGACUGUAUCCUCAUAAAAUAAUUUGAUCACUCUUCUUGUCUCUUUUGUAUUUUUUUUUUUUUUGUCAACAUUUCAUUUGUGUCCAAUUACUUUUUAGUUUAUCGAAGACGAGUGGUUUUGAGUAAUUUUUUUUUGUUAAGAAUCACCUAUUUGCACAAUAUUUUCUUCACUCUUGAUGCAAAUAAGUGGUUUUCAUAUUUAUCAAAUUUUUCUUGUGUAUUUUUGUGUGUGAAUUCAUCGUCUAUGUUCGACAUUAUUGUGUCCGUCGUCUGUGUGUGGUCAUAUUUGAUUUACUGUCUUAUUGAGGUGUUCAUUUAGUUCGACGUCAACGUUGCAUAUCUUAAGACAUGAAUAUUCCAAUCACUUUGAUUUAUCAUAUUAUUUGUGAACAUUUUUGUUGUUGCAUGAUAUUAAGUUGAGUGAUAAAAGUUUGUUAGUAUGUGUUUCCUUUUUGUUUUUAGCGAUAUUGAAUUUAUGUUUGUUUUCGAUGUAUUCUAUCAAUUUACUUGAAUAAAUAUGAUUUAAGUAAAAAGUGAAGGUAAAAUUGGGGUAGUUGUGGCACAAAUAUAAAGUCUUUCAAACCACUUUAAAUUUAUGAGUUUAUAUUCUUUAAACCCUGAAUCUAUACUACAUAUUUUGAUCAAUAAUCUAUAAUUGUUUGCAUAAUUUACUUUUGGGGCAAAUAUCUGCAUAAUCAAUCACCAUUUUGAUGCAAAAUAGUAAAGAUUUAACUUUAAAAAUAAGCAAUGUACGAUUGUGUAGUGGUGUAAAAGUAUUUUUUAAUAGUAGAUGUCAAUCAAAAGUACAAAUCUCUUAUCAGUUAUUCCCUCCGGUCACUAUUAUAAGUAAAUAUUGACUUUUUAGGUUCAUUCAAUAAAUGAUGUAUGUGGUCCAUAUAUAGACUAAAUACAUCAUUUAUUGAAUGAAUUUAAAAAGUGAAUUUUUGCUUAUAAUAGUGACCGGCAGGAGUAAAGUGUUUAUUUAGAAAUAUAUAAAAGACUAUUACUUUUCCCAUCCUGCUGCCUUCUCGUGCACUAUGUAAAAUUUACUAAAAUACCCCUGGUCUGGAUUAUAUAAUCCAUAUCAGAUUGUUAGUGAUUCUUCAAACCCUUUCGAUUUACCUUCUUCAAAACACGAAUUUCUUCAAAAAAUAACUAAAUAAGAAGAAAUGACACGGCUUCUAAUGAUUUGUUGUUGGGUAGUAUACCCAAUAAAAUUCAAGGAUAUGGGAGGUGUCACCAAAGAAGGCAGGUGACAUUUAAUUUGGGAAAGGAGACUUCUUUCCCACCAUAGGAAAGUCUUUUUUUUACCAUUAGAUUGAGUAGUACCACCAUUGUUAUUAUAGUCUAUCCACACUAUAUUUUCUUCACAUCAUCUCUAACCUUAACAUCAACAUGGAAAUCCAGAAGGACAUGGAACAUCACAACAAAACAUCAACAAUCAACAUAACAACAACAACACACUCUUCUCUCCUUCGAAAAUCAAAACAAAACAACAUGGAAAUUAGAUGUUUUCUUUUAUUGUUACCUUUAUCUUACUUUUCUUCUAUUUUCAUCAUACAGUAUCUGCAUUCAUCAAUACACCAAAUUAAAUUAGAAUUAGAUGUAUCUGGAUUUAAAUUCAGAUUUGAUUGUUUGUACAAAAAAAUCUUAGACUUUGUAUCUUUAUGACAGAUGUUUGAAGAAUUUAGCUAACAUAUCCAAUUUGAGUGCUGAUAUAUUCAGUAGAGAAAGAGAAGAAACAUAAGGAUGAAGAUAAAGAUGAUGAGAAAAAGGAAAAGAAGGAUAAGGAGAAGAAGAAGGAAAAGAAGGACAAAACUGAUGUAGAGGAGAAGGAACAUAAGAAGGACAAAGAUAAGAAGAAAAAGGUGGGAAAGAAUCGCAAUUUUAAUGGUUAGUGAAGAUAGUAAGAUAAGAAUUCAGUGUUGAGAGACUAUUGUAAUAGUGUGUUCUUUGUAUGAUCCAAUGGUUAGAAAAGACUUUCCCAUAAUGGGAAAGAAGUCUCUUUUCCCAAAUUAAAUGCCACCACGAAGGCAUUCCUUUUAGUUUUGAAAAAAGUUAUUUGGGGUACAUAAAAGAGAGAAGAGAAAAUAUAAAAAUUAAAAAUAUGAUUGGUUAAAAAGAAAAGUAACAUGAGUGUAACAGAUAUUUUAUGUGUUAGUAGGUUAAACUCUUACACAUAAAAUAAUUUAACUAGCUGAUAAAAUAGGAAGAAGAAAAAAGUUAACACCCAUAUUCCCCACAUGUACCAUACAAACGUGUUUGUGUUCAAUAAAGACAUCAAAAUAUUAGUGCCAAAAUAAACAAGACAUCAAGAUAUUUUGUACCGGUCAAAAUAUUAGUGCUCAAUCAGGCUGGGCCUCCAAAUACUUCGGGCCUCUAACGAAAAAUUAAAUCUAAUAACCACCUCCACUUAAAUAAAAAAUAUAUAUGUUAUAUCAUUUUCUUUCUUUAGUACACGUUUGAGUUUUUUCUAGACUCUAGUUCUCCUUUUUGUACAUAAAUCGGAUCCUAAAAAAAAACCAUCCCUAAUUUGUAUAAUCACUUAAUCAGUCAAUUUGAAAAGUUAUUUCAUUGAAAGAAUCACAACAAUCAUUUUUUUCUUCGCAUAAACCAUUCGUUUUACCCUUUUCUACAACAGAGGAGUGUCAAAUUCAAACGACACCGUUAGAUAAAUUUCACCUCUUUUACUUAAUUUUUUUUAAUUCCUUUCAUGUUUAGAACUUCUUCUUAUUCUAAUUUUUUUUUUAAUGAAAUUUAGCUAUACAAAAAAAUUACGUUUUAUUUUACUAUGACCUAUUUUAAAAAGAGAGCCGAACCUCCUAUUUCACGGGAUGCAAUAACAUGUUAUAGCACAAGGGGUAAUCUUAGAGUUGAAAAAUUGAAAAAUAUCUUCCCAACUUAUAGUUCUUUUUCAAUUUUUGUUAUAGAUCUCUAAGAUUGUUGAAAAAUUGAAAAAAAAUCAAUGGAUAUACAACCCAAGAAAAAAUCCUUACCACAUGUGCUAAUCUUCCCAUGUCCAGCACAAGGCCAUGUAAAUCCAAUGCUAAAGCUAGCUGAACUUCUUGCAAUUCAAAACAUCUACAUCACUUUUCUCAACACCAAAUACAUCCAUAACCGACUCAUACAAUUCAAUGAUGAUAUUCAAGCUCUUUUAGAAUGUUACCCUAAGCUUCAAUUCAAGACCAUCUCUGAUUUUCACAGUGAGGAGAAACAUCCUGGAUUUGGAGAAAAGGUAGGUGAUGUAAUUUUGUCACUGAGUUUGUAUGGUAAGCCUUUGUUGAAAGAUAUAAUUGUCUCCGAGAAAAUAAGUUGCAUUAUUUUGGAUGGAAUAUUUGGUGAUCUUGCUACUGAUUUGGCUGCUGAGUUUGGGAUACAAUUGAUUCAUUUUCGUACUAUUAGUGCUUGUUGCUUUUGGGCUUAUUUAUCUGUUCCAAAGCUCUUGGAGUGCAAUGAGCUUCCCAUUAAAGGUAUUAUAACACUGAAACUGCUCUUAGAGUUUUAAUUAACAGAUUUUUUUUUUCUUUAUAAUUUUCACUUGGUUCUUGAUUAUUAUUUCUUUUGCCAAAAUAAUUGAGUAAAAAAUGUUCCACUCAAAACACCAUCUUAGGGAUCUAGUAGGUGAAGCAGUAGUGGAUAAUCUGAAUCGGUUAUUAUAUUGUUGAAUUAUUUCAUUUUAUCAUGGAUAAACAUAUGCCUCUUUACUUUUCCUUUAACUAAAUAGUUAGAUAGUGUUAGCCAAAUCCUAACUAAACUAACAAAAAUGCGGAGUUUGAACCAUAGCUUAUCCAUUUAUGUAAGUUUUUAAUGACUAUUGUCAUCUAGUCUAGGUAGAAAAGUAAAAAUAGUUUCACAUAUUUUUUUUUAGGAUUAAAUAAAUAAAUGGUCCCUUUAAAUAUACAAACAUUUGAUUUUAGUUCCUCUAAAAUAUUCUUUAGACUUUUGGUCUCUCUAAAAAAUUUCAUCUAUGAAAUUAGUUUUUGCUCUACAUUGAGUAUUACACUAGAGCAUGGACUAAUUUCAUACAUGAAAAUUUUUAGAGGGAACAAAAGCCAAAAUAAUAUUUUAGGAAAACUAAAAUCAAAUGUUAGUAUAUUUCAGAGGACUAUUUACUUAUUUAACCCUUUUUUAUAUAGACACAUGCAACCUUUGAAUUAACUAGGUAUUUUUGUUUUAGGUUUCUUCUAACGCAACAAAAUGUAUUUAAUUUUUCUCUGUAACUUUUUUUUUGUAACUUUUGUUAUAGAUGAAUUUUGCUACACAUUGGUGCAUGCUGAAUAAGAAACACUUCUAACAGAAGGUGUUAUAGAUGAACGAAUGAUACAUUAUAGAGUUGAUAGUGACAAAAUGUGAAUAAAUGCGACUGAUGCAAAUAAUAUGAUUGUAUAUUUAUUCAAAUAAAAUGAGUUAUACGAGUGUUCUUGUUUAAUUUAUAGGAGAUGAGGACAUGGAUCGCAUCAUAAGAAACGUGCCAGGCAUGGAAAACUUGCUUCGAUGUAGAGAUCUUCCAAGUUUCCGUAAAAUGGAUGAUAGUGAUACCAUAUUAGACAAGGCUGCACUUCUGACCCAACAAUCACUUAAAGGCAAUGCACUAAUACUCAACACGUUCGAGAAUCUAGAAUCCCCAGCUCUCUCUCAAAUUCGUCUUCAUGCCCCUAAACUCUACACCAUUGGCCCUCUUCACCACCACCUCAACACCACAAAAAAAACAUCAUCGUCAUCGUCCUCCUCCUCCAAGAGCAAUUUCUUCGAAGUGGAUAGAACUUGCAUGACAUGGCUUGAAUCUCAACCGUUGAAAUCGGUUGUAUAUGUUAGCUUUGGUAGCAUCACCCCAAUGAAGGGAGAAGAAAUCAUUGAGAUUUGGCACGGUUUAUUGAAUAGCAAAAAACCAUUUUUG
rnacentral:lncRNA from 1 species